rnacentral:lncRNA from 10 species
UUUGGUUUAUGCUAUCAUUUUAUUAACUCAGAACUAUCCAAAAAAUGACCCGACUUUGUAAUUUCUACACUACAAAUGGAAAUUAUCUUUUAACACUGAGACAUUUUUAAAGCAAAUCCAUGCCUUACAAUACUUCAACACGACUGUCUAGUUCUGGAUCCUGUCAAUUUCCCCAUAGGUCUUCCAACUGCUUGAUGUUCUUUUAAAAUGCCAUUUUCAAGGACUAUUCAACAGGCUGAGUUUGCAUCCCCAGAAUCACUGCCUUUCAUGUCAUAUGAAGGAUAUUCUCACUCUGUCACAUCCUUCUUUUCCUGUUCACAUUUGUUAUUUUUCUUGCAUCUGGAUCUGUGCCAAAGCCGCCUGUAAAUCUUAACAGAGUGCCUCUUAGCCUCUGAAUUCCCUUUAUCUGUCAUGGAAGCAUAUUCUUGAAAGAACUCCAGGAGGGUAGUUAUAAUGAGUGAUCCUCUCAUUUUCCCCAUUCUUUCUUUCAGACUUGCCAAAGAAGCUGCUUAUUUCACAGAAGGACAGUGCUGGCUGAAAGAUGCUUCCUUGAAACUGAGAGACUGCUGCCUUAGACAGGUCUCCUUGAAGAGCACAAGAAUUACUUUCAGAUCAUCAGUGACUUAAUUGAACAAAUGACAAAGAUCUUGCCAAAAUCUGAGAAGAUGUCCUCUGACCUUCCUCACCAGGAGUGAAUAUAUGUCAAUUCGUAUAUCCAAAUCUAUGAAAAGGAACAUGAAAUGGGAUCAACUAAAUUAUAUUGAAGACAUAUACAGAUACAUUAAGCUUUGGAAAACAUCUGGACUUUGGAAUACUGGUCCACACGUCUUUCAGAGAGUCUUUCACAGGUAAGAAGAAACAUUUCUUGUGAUUUUUAUUAUGUUCAAAUUCAGCAAAGGAGAUGACUUCAUUUCC